rnacentral:rRNA from 1 species
CCUACGGGGGACAGCAGUGAGGAAUAUUGGUCAAUGGGCUUACGCCUGAACCAGCCAAGUCGCGUGAGGGAUGACUGCCCUAUGGGUUGUAAACCUCUUUUGUCAGGGAGUAAUUGGCUCUACGUGUAGCGUUAUCGAGAGUACCUGUAGAUAAAGCAUCGGCUAACUCCGUGCCAGCAGCCGCGGUAAUACGGAGGAUGGGAGCGUUAUCCGGAUUUAUUGGGUUUAAGGGGUGCGUAGGCGGAAUGCCAAGUCAGCGGGAAAAUCGCGGGGCUCAACCUCGCUCCGCCGUUGAAACUGGCGUUCUUGAGUGGGCUAGAAGUAUGCGGAAUGCGUGGUGUAGCGGUGAAAUGCAUAGAUAUCACGCAGAACUCCGAUUGCGAAGGCAGCAUACCGGCGCCCAACUGACGCUGAAGCACGAAAGCGUGGGUAUCGAACAGGAUUAGAUACCCUAGUAGUC